AUUGAACGCUGGCGGCAUGCCUUACACAUGCAAGUCGAACGGCAGCACGGGGCAACCUGGUGGCGAGUGGCGAACGGGUGAGUAAUAUAUCGGAACGUACCCUGGAGUGGGGGAUAACGUAGCGAAAGUUACGCUAAUACCGCAUACGAUCUAAGGAUGAAAGCAGGGGACCGCAAGGCCUUGUGCUCCUGGAGCGGCCGAUAUCUGAUUAGCUAGUUGGUGGGGAAAGGCCUACCAAGGCAUCGAUCAGUAGCUGGUCUGAGAGGACGACCAGCCACACUGGAACUGAGGCACGGUCCAGACUCCUACGGGAGGCAGCAGUGGGGAAUUUUGGACAAUGGGCGCAAGCCUGAUCCAGCAAUGCCGCGUGAGUGAAGAAGGCCU
rnacentral:rRNA from 1 species